rnacentral:misc_RNA from 1 species
GCAAACUUGGUCAUUUAGAGGAAGUAAAAGUCGUAACAAGGUUUCCGUAGGUGAACCUGCGGAAGGAUCAUUACUGAGAAUGCUCUCCGGAGCCCUCAAACCUUGCGUACCCAUCUUGUACUUGCGGGUGGCCUUUGGCGCCCGCGAGGAUUCAAACUGUUUGACUAUCGUCAGAUUCUUACAAAAGAAAACAACUUUCAACAAUGGAUCUCUUGGCUCCGUAAAAGUCGUAACAAGGUUUCCGUAGGUGAACCUGCGGAAGGAUCAUUACUGAGAAUGCUCUCCGGAGCCCUCAAACCUUGCGUACCCAUCUUGUACUUGCGGGUGGCCUUUGGCGCCCGCGAGGAUUCAAACUGUUUGACUAUCGUCAGAUUCUUACAAAAGAAAACAACUUUCAACAAUGGAUCUCUUGGCUCCGGCAUCGAUGAAGAACGCAGC